AUUGAACGCUGGCGGCAUGCUUUACACAUGCAAGUCGAACGGUAACAGGGUGCUUGCACCGCUGACGAGUGGCGAACGGGUGAGUAAUGCGUCGGAACGUGCCGAGUAGUGGGGGAUAACGCAGCGAAAGUUGUGCUAAUACCGCAUACGUACUGAGGUAGAAAGUGGGGGACCUUCGGGCCUCACGCUAUUCGAGCGGCCGACGUCUGAUUAGCUAGUAGGUGAGGUAAAGGCUCACCUAGGCGACGAUCAGUAGCGGGUCUGAGAGGAUGAUCCGCCACACUGGGACUGAGACACGGCCCAGACUCCGCCGGGAGGCAGCAGUGGGGAAUUUUGGACAAUGGGCGAAAGCCUGAUCCAGCCAUGCCGCGUGUCUGAAGAAGGCCUUCGGGUUGUAAAGGACUUUUGUCAGGGAGGAAAUCCCUAGUGCUAAUAACACUGGGGGAUGACAGUACCUGAAGAAUAAGCACCGGCUAACUACGUGCCAGCAGCCGCGGUAA
rnacentral:rRNA from 1 species